rnacentral:rRNA from 1 species
GUUAGGAAUAUUGGACAAUGGGCGAAAGCCUGAUCCAGCCAUGCCGCGUGAACGAUGAAGGCCUUCGGGUUGUAAAGUUCUUUAGCCGAUGAUUAUAAUGACUGUAGUCGGAAAAUAAGCCCCGGCUAACUUCGUGCCAGCAGCCGCGGUAAUACGAAGGGGGCGAGCGUUAUUCGGAAUCACUGGGCGUAAAGCGUGCGUAGGCGGUUUUGUAAGUUAGGAGUGAAAGCCCAGGGCUCAACCUUGGAAUUGCUCUUAAAACUGCAAGGCUCGAAUCUCGGAGAGGAUAGCGGAAUUUCCAGUGUAGCAGUGAAAUGCGUAGAUAUUGGAAGGAACACCAGUGGCGUAAGCGGCUAUCUGGACGAGUAUUGACACUGAGACACGAAAGCAUGGGGAUCAAACAGGAUUAGAAACCCUGGUAGUCC